UGCAGUCGAACGAUGAUGCUAGCUUGCUAGCGGAUUAGUGGCGAACGGGUGAGUAACACGUGAGUAACCUGCCCUUGACUCUGGGAUAAGCGUUGGAAACGACGUCUAAUACCGGAUACGACGACCGAUGGCAUCUUCUGGUUGUGGAAAGAUUUUUUGGUCAAGGAUGGACUCGCGGCCUAUCAGGUUGUUGGUGAGGUAAUGGCUCACCAAGCCUACGACGGGUAGCCGGCCUGAGAGGGUGACCGGCCACACUGGGACUGAGACACGGCCCAGACUCCUACGGGAGGCAGCAGUGGGGAAUAUUGCACAAUGGGCGAAAGCCUGAUGCAGCAACGCCGCGUGAGGGAUGACGGCCUUCGGGUUGUAAACCUCUUUUAGUAAGGAAGAAGAACUUCGGUUUGACGGUACUUGCAGAAAAAGCACCGGCUAACUACGUGCCAGCAGCCGCGGUAAUACGUAGGGUGCAAGCGUUGUCCGGAAUUAUUGGGCGUAAAGAGCUCGUAGGCGGUUUGUCGCGUCUGCUGUGAAAACCGGAGGCUCAACCUCCGGCCUGCAGUGGGUACGGGCAGACUAGAGUGCGGUAGGGGAGAUUGGAAUUCCUGGUGUAGCGGUGGAAUGCGCAGAUAUCAGGAGGAACACCGAUGGCGAAGGCAGAUCUCUGGGCCGUAACUGACGCUGAGGAGCGAAAGCAUGGGGAGCGA
rnacentral:rRNA from 1 species